rnacentral:rRNA from 1 species
UACGGGGGGGGCAAGCGUUGUUCGGAAUUACUGGGCGUAAAGGCUCGUAGGCGGCCAACUAAGUCCGACGUGAAAUCCCCAGGCUUAACCUGGAACUGCGUCGGAUACUGGAUGGCUUGAAUUCGGGAGAGGAUGCAGAAUUCCAGGUGUAGCGGUGAAAUGCGUAGAUAUCUGGAGGAAUACCGGUGGCGAAGGCGGCAUCCUGGACCGACAUUGACGCUGAGGAGCGAAAGCGUGGGGAGCAAACAGG